rnacentral:tRNA from 1 species
ACCUGGCUGGCUCAGUGGGUAGAGCAUGUGACUCUUGAUCUCAAGGUUGUAAAUUCAAGCCCCAUGUUGGGUG